CCACAAAGGCAAUGGGACCUUUGCCAGUAACAGCAGCUUGGAUACCAAAGAUGAGGAAGGCAAUCAUGGCAAGCCUACCAUGCUUGAUCUCUGCUAGUUUAAGGUUGUCUUUUUUCUCUGGAUCAGAAGCUAACCCUAGAGGAUCAAAGUAGCCACCUGGGUAGAUUCUUUUCUCUGGGUCAAGCUCUGCAUUUCUUUGAAAUUCUAUGUACCCAAUGACUAGUACCUCUAUCCAAAUCAGUGUGGUCAAGUUGAAUGGAAGUGGUUGCCCCAGGUAGGAUGAACCUUCUACUAGCUCCACCUGAAAAAGAAAAAAGAAUCCAAUAAUAAAUUUAGAAAAAUAAUAAUAUAAUAUAAAAAAAUAAAUUUGAAAUGUAGAUUCUCAAUUAAAUUAGAGAUCUAAUUAAAAAAAUAAAUAAAGUGGCAAGGUAUUUUUUUUAUUUUUUCUUAUAAUAUAAUAUUAUAUAAUAUCAUUUCUAUCAACAUCAAUGGAGUUGUCAUGUGUCAACCAUUCCUCUAUUGGCCCUUUUGUGCUUGGAUAGCAAGCGGACACGAAGAAGGAUUCUUGUGAAAGUUAAUUUAGUGAUGCCUAAAAAAUUUAAUUUAUUAUUAUUUAUUAGAAAUUGAUUUUUUUUUUACUUUGUUUAAAAUACAUUACAUGUAAUAAAAAGAAAGUAAUUGAUUUUUAUUUAUUUUAAAAUGAAUUUUAAUAUUUAUAUAUAUGAAAAUUACUGAAAGAAAAUGAAUUAAAUAAUAAUAUAAUACUAAUAAUAAAUUUACCACUUCUAAAAUAUUAUUUUGAUUAUUUUAAGAAAAGUGGUCAAAAUUUGUUCUUCAAUGCUAAUAAUAAUAAUUUCUCAAAAAGAAAUAAUAGUAGUAGAUACUGAGUUUACUUGUAGGGCUACUAGUAGUGUACGUAGUGCAAACGUACCUUUCCCGCGUCUUGCCAUGCAACACCGGUGAGAGCUUCAACGGCAAUGGCUCCGAGAGUACCUAACAUUGCCCAUCUGCCGUGAAUAAGCUCGCAUUCCCUAAACCUCUGCAAACCGAAAACCUCCGUGUACGGCUGAAACGGCGUCGAUUUCACAUCAUUCUGCUCCACUCUGACUCCGAUAAUGUCACCAGCCACGUUUUUCGCCAAGUUCUGGUCCAAAGAAUCAAGGUCAAAUUGCAGGUACUCUGCAGGUUUACCCAACCCAAAUGGGUCGAAUCCACGGUCUCCGAUCAUGGUUCCGUCCAGCCAUUCUGG
rnacentral:lncRNA from 1 species